AGAGUUUGAUCAUGGCUCAGAGCGAACGCUGGCGGCAGGCUUAACACAUGCAAGUCGAACGGGCACUUCGGUGCUAGUGGCAGACGGGUGAGUAACACGUGGGAACGUACCUUUCGGUUCGGAAUAAUUCAGGGAAACUUGGACUAAUACCGGAUAAGCCCUUCGGGGGAAAGAUUUAUCGCCGAUAGAUCGGCCCGCGUCUGAUUAGCUAGUUGGUGAGGUAACGGCUCACCAAGGCGACGAUCAGUAGCUGGUCUGAGAGGAUGAUCAGCCACAUUGGGACUGAGACACGGCCCAAACUCCUACGGGAGGCAGCAGUGGGGAAUAUUGGACAAUGGGCGAAAGCCUGAUCCAGCCAUGCCGCGUGUGUGAUGAAGGCCUUAGGGUUGUAAAGCACUUUUGUCCGGGAAGAUAAUGACUGUACCGGAAGAAUAAGCCCCGGCUAACUUCGUGCCAGCAGCCGCGGUAAUACGAAGGGGGCUAGCGUUGCUCGGAAUCACUGGGCGUAAAGGGCGCGUAGGCGGACUCUUAAGUCGGGGGUGAAAGCCCAGGGCUCAACCCUGGAAUUGCCUUCGAUACUGAGAGUCUUGAGUUCGGAAGAGGUUGGUGGAACUGCGAGUGUAGAGGUGAAAUUCGUAGAUAUUCGCAAGAACACCAGUGGCGAAGGCGGCCAACUGGUCCGAUACUGACGCUGAGGCGCGAAAGCGUGGGGAGCAAACAGGAUUAGAUACCCCGGUAGUCC
rnacentral:rRNA from 1 species